AACGAACGCUGGCGGCAUGCCUAACACAUGCAAGUCGAACGAAGGCUUCGGCCUUAGUGGCGCACGGGUGCGUAACGCGUGGGAAUCUGCCCUUUGGUUCGGAAUAACAGCUGGAAACGGCUGCUAAUACCGGAUGAUGACGAAAGUCCAAAGAUUUAUCGCCAGAGGAUGAGCCCGCGUUGGAUUAGGUAGUUGGUGGGGUAAAGGCCUACCAAGCCGACGAUCCAUAGCUGGUCUGAGAGGAUGAUCAGCCACACUGGGACUGAGACACGGCCCAGACUCCUACGGGAGGCAGCAGUGGGGAAUAUUGGACAAUGGGCGCAAGCCUGAUCCAGCAAUGCCGCGUGAGUGAUGAAGGCCCUAGGGUUGUAAAGCUCUUUUACCCGGGAAGAUAAUGACUGUACCGGGAGAAUAAGCCCCGGCUAGCUCCGUG
rnacentral:rRNA from 1 species